GAUGUGUAGGAUAGGUGGGAGGCUUUGAAGCGUGGACGCCAGUCUGCGUGGAGCCGACCUUGAAAUACCACCCUUUAAUGUUUGAUGUUCUAACGUGGACCCGUAAUCCGGGUUGCGGACAGUGUCUGGUGGGUAGUUUGACUGGGGCGGUCUCCUCCUAAAGAGUAACGGAGGAGCACGAAGGUUGGCUAAUCCUGGUCGGACAUCAGGAGGUUAGUGCAAUGGCAUAAGCCAGCUUGACUGCGAGCGUGACGGCGCGAGCAGGUGCGAAAGCAGGUCAUAGUGAUCCGGUGGUUCUGAAUGGAAGGGCCAUCGCUCAACGGAUAAAAGGUACUCCGGGGAUAACAGGCUGAUACCGCCCAAGAGUUCAUAUCGACGGCGGUGUUUGGCACCUCGAUGUCGGCUCAUCACAUCCUGGGGCUGAAGUAGGUCCCAAGGGUAUGGCUGUUCGCCAUUUAAAGUGGUACGCGAGCUGGGUUUAGAACGUCGUGAGACAGUUCGGUCCCUAUCUGCCGUGGGCGCUGGAGAACUGAGGGGGGCUGCUCCUAGUACGAGAGGACCGGAGUGGACGCAUCACUGGUGUUCGGGUUGUCAUGCCAAUGGCACUGCCCGGUAGCUAAAUGCGGAAGAGAUAAGUGCUGAAAGCAUCUAAGCACGAAACUUGCCCCGAGAUGAGUUCUCCCUGAGACUUAGAGUCUCCUGAAGGAACGUUGAAGACGACGACGUUGAUAGGCCGGGUGUGUAAGCGCAGCGAUGCGUUGAGCUAACCGGUACUAAUGAACCGUGAGGCUUAACCUUACA
rnacentral:rRNA from 1 species